UGUUAAAAAAUUCAUCCAUUUGCACUUUUAAAAAUCGACAUUACUGAUGAAAUAACUAGAUAACAACAUGCGGCAUACCAUAUGUACCUCAUGUUGAGUUACAAGAAUUUGUGUUUAAUAGUAAAAAUUUAUGAAAUUUUUAACA
rfam:Gossypium raimondii Chr01_contig_20, whole genome shotgun sequence.